rnacentral:rRNA from 1 species
GACGAACGCUGGCGGCAUGCUUAACACAUGCAAGUCGAACGGAAAGUCCCGGCUUUUGUGCGCUGCUCGACGUGCGAACGGGUAAGUUACACGUGAGUUACCUGUCCUUGACUGUGGGAUAACUUCAUGACACUUGGUCUAAUACCGCCUAGGAUCUCCUGCUUUAUGGUGGGCGCUGGUUAGUUUCGGCGGUUGGGGAUGGACUCGCGUCUUAUCAGCAGGGUGGUGGGGUAGUGGCUUACGAAGGCUUUGACGGGUAGCCGGGCUGAGAGGGUGACCGGCCACAUUGGGACUGAGAUACGGCCCAGACUGCUACGGGAGGCAGCAGUGGGGAAUAUUGCACAAUGGGCGGAAGCCUGAUGCAGCAACGCCGCGUGCGGGAUGACGGCCUUCGGGUUGUAAACCGCUUUCGCCUGUGACGAAGCGUGAGUGACGGUAAUGGGUAAAGAAGCACCGGCUAACUACGUG